AAUGAGACUGGCAAGAAGCGUUUUUCCCCAACCCGCUGCAUAUUCCACAAUUCUGUUACAAAAAUGCCUUUCCUCCCACCUCUGACAUUCUAUUGUUGCUUUUCAACCAAAACAAAGUGAAAGGAGAUGAAAAGAUUGAAGAGGAAAUGGAUCUCACAGACUGAAAAGCAAAGGAAAAAUAGAAGAAGAAAUAAUAAAAUACCCACUUUGGAUGUCCUAGCUGGUACAAAAUGUCCCACCCCCUUGAGCAGCCCUUCCAGCUCCUCAGAAACGAGGAUGAGCAGCAAAGGGAUGGAUAAUGUUGGUACAGGCAUAAGAUGAGCAACCCCAAAGUUGGUGUUCAGCCUAGUGCUGCUGGUGCACUGCUGAAGUAUCCAAGCAGGAAAUGCUCUCGUGGGAUAGAGAAGCUGCUUUGCUAGCACAUCAGUAUGGCUGGGAUCACCCCAAAAUUACCCACACUGAUGGAAAUGGACCUUGCAGGUUUGCAGC